CAGCUUACAUUCCAACCAGCAAUGUAGAAGGGUUCCCUUUUUUCCAUUCCCUCUCCAGUAGUUAUUAUUUGUCGACUUUUUAAUCAGGGCCAUUCUGAGCAGUGUAAGGUGGUACCUUAUUGUAGUUUUGAUUUGCUUUGCUCUAAUAAUUAGUGAUGUUGAACAUCUUUUCAUAUGCCUGCUGGCCAUUUGUCUGUCUUCUUUGGAGAAAUGUCUAUUUAGGUCUUCUGUCCAUCUUUUGAUUGGGUUGUUUAAUAUUGAGUUGUAUGAGCUGUUUGUAUAUUUUGGAAAUUAAGCCUUUGUCAGUCACGUCAUCUGCAGAUAUCUUCUCCCAGUCCAUAGGCUAUCUUUUUGUUUUAUUGAUGGUUUCUUUGCAGUACAAAAGCUUAUAAGUUUGAUUGGGUCCCAUUUGUUUAUUUUUGCUUUUAUUUCUCUUGCCUUGGGAGACUGAAUGGUACAAGUUAUGUCACAGAAUGUUUUGUCCAUGGAAUUUUAUGGUGUCAUGUCUUACAUUUUGAGGGUGUGUCCUUAACUUCAUUGAUUUACAUGUGGAUGUCCAACUUUCCCAACACUGAACACAGACUGUCUUUUCUCCAUUACAUGUUCUUGCCUCCUUUGCUGAAGACUGACUGUAGGAUGCUUAUUCAGUCCAUGCCACUUAUUUUAUGUAAACCAUACCAAUUAAUGCAGACAAAGGAAGCGCUCAAGAAUAUGAGGAGUGCUCAUCAGCUUGCUGACAGUGAGUAUUCUCAUUGCAGAUUUAGAUGCUCAUCCAGUUUUUUAUUAUAUUCAUAAUGGAGAAUGAAGAAGAGGGGAACUAAUAUUUAUUGAGCACCUACUGUCUGCCAGCGUGGUAAAUGUUGAUACACACAAGCACAGCUCACAGUGUCCUCAACACCUUUCCAGUGUAUCCAGGACCCUGAGAGACAGAGUUAAGAACCGCUGCCACCCCCACUUCUGCCCGGUUAACCAGGCUCCUUGGAGAAGCAGCCAGUUCCAGAUGUGGAGACAAGUGCGAGGUGAGUGCAGAGUAUCUUGUUCCCGAAGCAAGU
ensembl:lncRNA